rnacentral:rRNA from 1 species
CCGCGGUUAUACGAGAGGCCCAAGUUGAUAGUCAACGGCGUAAAGAGUGGUUAGAAGGAAAACCAACUACUAAAGCCGAACGCCUUCAGGGCUGUUAUACGCACAUGAAGGUGAGAAGCCCACCCACGAAAGUGGCUUUAUAUCCUUGAAUCCACGAAAGCUAUGGCACAAACUGGGAUUAGAUACCCCACUAUGCUUAGCCCUAAACAUUGACAACAAUAUACACCUGUUGUCCGCCUGGGAACUACGAGCAUCAGCUUAAAACCCAAAGGACUUGGCGGUGCUUUAGACCCACCUAGAGGAGCCUGUUCUAGAACCGAUAACCCCCGUUCAACCUCACCCUUCUUUGUUUCCACCGCCUAUAUACCGCCGUCGUCAGCUUACCCUGUGAAGGACUUAUAGUAAGCAAAAUUGGUACAACCCUAAACGCCAGGUCGAGGUGUAGCGUAUGGAAGGGGAAGAAAUGGGCUACAUUCUCUAAUACAGAGAAUACGAAUGAUGAACUGAAAUGUACAUCUGAAGGAGGAUUUAGCAGUAAGCAGGAAAUAGAGUGUCCCGCUGAAAUUGGCCCUGAAGCGCGCACACACCGCCCGUCACUCUCCCCGAACAAUUAAUUAUCAAUUAAAUAAAACCCCACCAUAACGAAGGGGAGGCAAGUCGUAACAUGGUAAGUG